rnacentral:rRNA from 1 species
GACGAACGCUGGCGGCGUGCUUAACACAUGCAAGUCGAACGGAAAGGCCCUGCUUUUGUGGGGUGCUCGAGUGGCGAGCGGGUGAGUAACACGUGAGUAACCUGCCCUUGACUUUGGGAUAACUUCAGGAAACUGGGGCUAAUACCGGAUAGGAGCUCCUGCUGCAUGGUGGGGGUUGGAAAGUUUCGGCGGUUGGGGAUGGACUCGCGGCUUAUCAGCUUGUUGGUGGGGUAGUGGCUUACCCAGGCUUUGACGGGUAGCCGGCCUGAGAGGGUGACCGGCCACAUUGGUACUGCGAUACGGCCCAGACUCCUACGUGAGGCAGCAGGGGGGAAUAUUGCACAAUGGGCGGAAGCCUGAUGCAGCAACGCCGCGUGCGUGAUGACGUCCUUCGGGUUGUAAACCGCUUUCGCCUGUGACGAAGCGGGAGUGACGGUAAUGGGUAAAGAAGCACCGGCUAACUACGUG